rnacentral:rRNA from 1 species
UACGUAGGGGGCUAGCGUUGUCCGGAAUCAUUGGGCGUAAAGCGCGCGUAGGCGGCCCGGUAAGUCCGCUGUGAAAGUCGGGGGCUCAACCCUCGAAUGCCGGUGGAUACUAUCGGGCUAGAGUGCGGAAGAGGCGAGUGGAAUUCCUGGUGUAGCGGUGAAAUGCGCAGAUAUCAGGAGGAACACCAAUUGCGAAGGCAGCUCGCUGGGACGUAACUGACGCUGAGACGCGAAAGCGUGGGGAGCAAACAGG